rnacentral:sRNA from 1 species
UUGUUUUUUUUAUUUAUGUUGAAUUACAUUUUAUAAAGUUUGAUCAUUUUAAAAGACAUUCUCUAUCUCCAUGUAAGGUGUUCUGUUCUCUAUCUCCAUGUAAGGUGUUCUGUUCUCUAUCUCCAUGUAAGGUGUUCUGUUCUCUAUCUCCAUGUAAGGUGUUCUGUUAUCUAUCUCCAUGUAAGGUGUUCUGUUCUCUAUCUCCAUGUAAGAUGUUCUGUUCUCAUGACCUGUUCUUUAUCUCCAUGUAAGGUGUUCUGUUCUCUUGACCUGUUCUUUAUCUCCAUGUAAGAUGUUCUGUUCUCGUGACCUGUUCUCUAUCUCCAUGUAAGCUGUUCUGUUCUCUUGACCUGUUCUUUAUCUCCAUGUAAGAUGUUCUGUUCUCGUGACCUGUUCUCUAUCUCCAUGUAAGGUGUUCUGUUCUCUAUCUCCAUGUAAGGUGU